UGGGGAAUUUUGCGCAAUGGGCGAAAGCCUGACGCAGCAACGCCGCGUGCGGGACGAAGGCCUUAGGGUCGUAAACCGCUUUCAGCAGGGACGAAACUGACUGUACCUGCAAAAGAAGCUCCGGCUAACUACGUGCCAGCAGCCGCGGUAAUACGUAGGGAGCAAGCGUUAUCCGGAUUUAUUGGGCGUAAAGCGCGCGUAGGCGGCUUGUUAAGUCAGGUGUGAAAGCCGGGGGCUCAACCCGCGGAUUGCAUCUGAAACUGGCAGGCUUGAGUGUGGUAGAGGAAAGUGGAAUUCCCGGUGUAGCGGUGAAAUGCGCAGAUAUCGGGAGGAACACCAGUGGCGAAGGCGGCUUUCUGGGCCACCACUGACGCUGAGGCGCGAAAGCUAGGGGAGCAAACAGG
rnacentral:rRNA from 1 species